UACAGAGGUGGCAAGCGUUGUUCGGAAUUACUGGGCGUAAAGGGCGCGUAGGCGGCCUUCUAAGUCAGACGUGAAAUCCCCCGGCUUAACCUGGGAACUGCGUCUGAUACUGGGAGGCUUGAGUAUGGGAGAGGGAUGUAGAAUUCCAGGUGUAGCGGUGAAAUGCGUAGAUAUCUGGAGGAAUACCGGUGGCGAAGGCGGCAUCCUGGACCAAUUCUGACGCUGAGGAGCGAAAGCCAGGGGAGCAAACGGG
rnacentral:rRNA from 1 species